rnacentral:piRNA from 1 species
UAUUGUGGUGACAAGAGUAGGAUAGACUUA